GACGAACGCUGGCGGCGUGCUUAACACAUGCAAGUCGAACGGAAAGGCCCUGCUUUUGUGGGGUGCUCGAGUGGCGAACGGGUGAGUAACACGUGAGUAACCUGCCCUUGACUUUGGGAUAACUUCACGAAACUGGGGCUAAUACCGGAUAGGAGCCCCUGCUGCAUGGUGGGGGUUGGAAAUUUUCGGCGGUUGGGGCUGGACUCGCGGCUUAUCAGCUUGUUGGUGGGGUAGUGGCUUACCAAGGCUUUGACGGGUACGCGGCCUGGGAGGGUGGCCGGCCACCAUGGUACUGCGAUACGGCCCAGACUCGUACGGUAGGCAGCAGUGGGAAGCAUUGCACAGUGGGCGCGAGCCUGAUGCGGCGACGCCGCGGGCGGGAUGCCCGCCUUCCGGUUGUGAACAGCUGCCGCCUGAGACGGAGCGUGAGUGACGGUAAUGGGUGAAGAAGCACCGGCUAACUUCGUG
rnacentral:rRNA from 1 species